rnacentral:rRNA from 1 species
CAGUCGCCGCGGUAAUACGUAGGCGGCAAGCGUUGUCCGGAAUUAUUGGGCGUAAAGGGCUCGCAGGCGGUUUCUUAAGUCUGAUGUGAAAGCCCCCGGCUCAACCGGGGAGGGUCAUUGGAAACUGGGAAACUUGAGUGCAGAAGAGGAGAGUGGAAUUCCACGUGUAGCGGUGAAAUGCGUAGAGAUGUGGAGGAACACCAGUGGCGAAGGCGACUCUCUGGUCUGUAGCUGACGCUGAAGAGCGAAAGCGUGGGGAGCGAACAGGAUUAGAUACCCCGGUAGUCCCUGUCUCUUAUAC